GGAGGUGAAUGAAGUCUGGUGACUUCCCUGGUCUUCAAAACCAGCGACUUGCCGAACGCGAGUGGUGGGUUCGAUUCCCAUCCACCUCCGCCA
rnacentral:tRNA from 1 species